GCAAACUUGGUCAUUUAGAGGAAGUAAAAGUCGUAACAAGGUCUCCGUAGGUGAACCUGCGGAGGGAUCAUUACCGAGAGAGGGCGCCCCGCGCGCCCGACCUCCCAACCCUCUGUCGACCGCACCGCGUUGCCUCGGGGCGACCCCUCGGGCGCCCCAGAGGACCUCACCCAAACCCCGCGUCUCUGCGUCGGAGCGGCGUUGGAAUCAAUCAAAACUUUCAACAACGGAUCUCUUGGUUCUGGCAUCGAUGAAGAACGCAGC
rnacentral:misc_RNA from 1 species